GGAAUAUUGGACAAUGGGGGAAACCCUGAUCCAGCCAUGCCGCGUGUGUGAAGAAGGCCUUCGGGUUGUAAAGCACUUUAAGUUGGGAGGAAGGUUUUUAGGUUAAUAGCCUCAAGAUUUGACGUUACCAACAGAAUAAGCACCGGCUAACUUCGUGCCAGCAGCCGCGGUAAUACGAAGGGUGCAAGCGUUAAUCGGAAUUACUGGGCGUAAAGCGCACGUAGGCGGCGUGGUCAGUUGGGUGUGAAAGCCCCGGGCUCAACCUGGGAACUGCAUUCAAUACUGCCAUGCUAGAGUAUGAGAGAGGAAGGUAGAAUUCCAUGUGUAGCGGUGAAAUGCGUAGAUAUGUGGAGGAAUACCAGUGGCGAAGGCGGCCUUCUGGCUUAAUACUGACGCUGAGGUGCGAAGGCGUGGGGAGC
rnacentral:rRNA from 1 species